rnacentral:misc_RNA from 1 species
GUAGGUGAACCUGCGGAGGGAUCAUUAACACGUAUCCACACGUUUAAACCAAACCGCGAACCUCUUUUUGCCUGUAUCGAAAGGUGUACAUGUAAGCCGCAAGAUAGAUUCGGGGCAACUCGUCUACUUACAGUACUAUGGUCUCCUCGAGGACCGAACCGCUUCGAUAUGGUGUACGAAAGCUAUCUUGGUUAUCUGUGCCAACCCGGUCUCGACCCGGAGCCUGGUAACCUUAUUACUCCCUAUUUUA